GUAGUCCUGCCGUGCGCGUGGGGUCGUAAGUUCCGAUCCAACAUGCUAGACACCGGGAGCCCGGCUCUGUGCGCGGAUGACACGCCCCGCACUAUGGGGUAGUCAGAGGCCUGCAGGAGGGCACCCACCUGCGAGAGCAGGUUCGGGAACUACGCCUUACGGCACGGCGGGAGAAUG
rnacentral:other from 1 species